CCUACGGGAGGCAGCAGUGAGGAAUAUUGGUCAAUGGCCGUAAGGCUGAACCAGCCAAGUCGCGUGAAGGAAGAAGGAUCUAUGGUUUGUAAACUUCUUUUAUAGGGGAAUAAAGGUAUCCACGUGUGGAUCUUUGCAUGUACCCUAUGAAUAAGCAUCGGCUAACUCCGUGCCAGCAGCCGCGGUAAUACGGAGGAUGCGAGCGUUAUCCGGAGUUAUUGGGUUUAAAGGGUGCGUAGGUUGUUUUUUAAGUCAGCGGUGAAAGUUUGUGGCUCAACCAGAAAAUUGCCGUUGAAACUGGCAGACUUGAGUGUGUUUGAGGUAGGCGGAAUGCGUGGUGGAGCGGUGAAAUGCAGAGAUAUCACGCAGAACUCCGAUUGCGAAGGCAGCUUACUAAGCCAUAACUGACACUGAAGCACGAAAGCGUGGGGAUCAAACAGGAUUAGAUACCCGAGUAGUC
rnacentral:rRNA from 1 species